GAUGAACGCUGGCGGCGUGCCUAAUACAUGCAAGUCGAGCGAACAGACGAGGAGCUUGCUCCUCUGGCGUUAGCGGCGGACGGGUGAGUAACACGUGGAUAACCUACCUAUAAGACUGGGAUAACUUCGGGAAACCGGAGCUAAUACCGGAUAAUAUAUUGAACCGCAUGGUUCAAUAGUGAAAGACGGUUUCGCUGUCACUUAUAGAUGGAUCCGCGCCGCAUUAGCUAGUUGGUAAGGUAACGGCUUACCAAGGCGACGAUGCGUAGCCGACCUGAGAGGGUGAUCGGCCACACUGGAACUGAGACACGGUCCAGACUCCUACGGGAGGCAGCAGUAGGGAAUCUUCCGCAAUGGGCGAAAGCCUGACGGAGCAACGCCGCGUGAGUGAUGAAGGUCUUCGGAUCGUAAAACUCUGUUAUUAGGGAAGAACAAAUGUGUAAGUAACUAUGCACGUCUUGACGGUACCUAAUCAGAAAGCCACGGCUAACUACGUG
rnacentral:rRNA from 1 species